CGAGACGCGCCUGCGCCCGGCGUUUACGGCCGCGCUUCGCGCCGCCGCCGCCGUCUCGCGCGAAGAUUCGGUACAGCUGUCCCAUACCGCUUCAUUAUUGCUUCCUGCACAUAAAGUGCUUCCACUGCUUGGAUAUGAGCAGAUGAAGCGAGCACACAAUAUAAGAAGGUCAAUUUUCUUUCAUCCUCCAUCACAUCGGCCUGCUCUGCUGGGACCUUCUUACAUCUUGAGGACAUCCAAAACAGCUGCUGCAAGCUCUCGUAUAGGCAUCUGAAUCUCACUAAUAGUCUGGAAAGUCUCUGUUACUGAGGAAGCUUGCAAACCACAUCUCUGUUACAGAUGAAGAUGCAGCUCUACUGGACUUGUUUCUCCAUCAAUUGUUUCUCCAUCUCCAGAUAUUUUGUUAUUUUCGAAAGUCCUGAAAGAAAUGGUAGAAUGGCCAAAGUUCAUACCAGAAAGUGUUUAUCCUCUAGUGGAUGUGUACAUCUCUACCUUGGUUUGCCUCCCAUGUAGACUAUUUAUAGUCAUCCAUUGGAUUUUCAUUAGCGGUAUAAUUGAUCUUUAUUCUGCUUUUGAAGUUUGUACACACCUGUCCUACAGGUUAGAGGUGAACUCAGUUUUAUCCCUCUGGCUACAGAUAGAUCUUAGUGCCUUAUUAGAUGUCUAUCCAAGUAGGUGGAGCUCUGUGUCAGACUGACAGCAGGUGAUUAGUAAGGCAGUCGUGGCAGUGUAUGCUCAGGCUCAUGCCUGACAUGUUGUAAGUUCGCUAUGUUGCUCCAGCAAUAAGGUUCUCGGGAGGUCUGUUAAACACCAUUAAAAAAAAAAAACUUGAUUUAAUUAGGAGACUAAAUUAUAAAGAUUAAUUUGAUAACUAAUUAUCACAAGUACAAAAUAGUAGAUUAGUAAUAUAGUAAGAUAAGUGAACAUUACCAACGAGUUAUGAUUUAAAUGACCAAUUUUGCAUAUAGUAUUGCUGUAAUUCUUGUGUUUUAUCUUCAGAUAAUAGAUGUGGAAACUAAAGAAAGAUUUACUUAUUUUAUACUUUAAAUAGCCAAAAAAAAAAAAACCUUCUGUCAUUUAGCUUUUUAUGAUCAAGAAUCUUGUUUUGUGUGAAAUCAUUAUUCACGUCUUAUUACAGACUUUAGUGGUCCUUGUAUUGUUUUGGUUGAAAAAGACAUCUAAGCACAACAGUUGCAAAUUGUCAGUGACUGUAUGUAGUAAUACAGUCCUUCAAAAUCAAUUUGAUCUCAGUUCAUGAAGAAAUUAAAUUGAAAUAAAAAGGAUUUAAAAUAAUUGCAGAAUUCCCUAUACGGAGUUGGACUAGAUGAUCUCAAGAGGUGCUUUCCAGCCUAAACAGGUGACUCUGUACAGUUACAAAAAUGAAAUAGCAAGUUUUAUUAGCAUUCUAUUAUUUAUAUCUAUAAUUUCAGAUUUUUUGCAAUGUUAUUUGUUAGUGGAAUUUUAUGUAUAAAUGUAGACAGCAUGAAGUCCAACUUGUAUAACAGCAUGACUGUAUAUGCAAAUAGAUAUAACAUGCUUCAAGCUAGAAUGUGACCUUUAUUUUUCUCAUUAAUUGUCACAUUGCCUAGAAUGGCUUUUCAUACAACCUACCUGUCACUUUACCAAAAAGAGGGGAGGGAAGGGGGUCCAUACGUCAGUGUGAAUGACAAACAAGUAGAGACGCAUUUGGAAAAAUCUGUCUAGGUUCUUCUGAAACAUGAAGUAUUUUGCUCUCCCCUGGAAAAAUUACAUGACAGAACAAAAUUAAGAAGAAAGCACACACAUCCUUCGCAACGUUGCCUUAGCCAAGCUAGUCUGUUGGGUCAUGCGCGAAAAACAGCCAAGCCCUAGGACUGAGAUUGUAUUGACAAGAACAAGAUGAAUGGCCCCCUGGAGACUACAGGGUUUGUAUGCUCGUUUCCACCACCUUUUCAUCCUUUUGUACCCUCUUUCACUUCAUAUGCAGAUUAACUCAAACCAAGUCCUCACAGUCCUCACUAAAUACUCUUUUUCACUUUAGUUUUGGAAGGUAGGCAAGGAUCUAAAUAUUUAUGAGCUUUUUUCCUCUGGUUUAUGAUACACUCUUGUUGAAUGUUGAGGAAUUACGUUAAUGAAUGCAUGCCUGCACACACAGACACAGAAACCAGGCAAAAGGAAGAAACACACAAAGCGUUGUCAACUGUAAUGUCAGCACUUACUAAACAGUUCC
rnacentral:lncRNA from 1 species